UUCCGGUUGAUCCUGCCGGACCCCACUGCUAUCGGGGUGGGACUAGAUCAUGCAAGUCGAGCGCCUUCAAGCUAUGGUGAAGGCGCGCUUAACGGCUCAGUAACACGUGGCCUUCCUACCCUUGGGACGGAGACAACCCCGGGAAACUGGGGCUAAUCCCCGAUAGGUAAGGAAUCCUGGAAUGGAUCUUUGCUGAAGGGGCGUCUGGACCAUGCUUCUUGACGUCGCCCAAGGAUGGAGCCGCGGCCGAUCAGGUAGUUGGCGAGGCAACGGCUCACCAAGCCUAUAACCGGUACGGGCCGUGAGACCGGUAGCCCGGAGAUGGGUACUGAGACUAGGACCCUCCCCCUACGGGGCGCAGCAGUUGCUAAAACUCCGCAAUGCGCGAAAGCGUGACGGGGCUACCCCGAGUGCCGCCCGUUGAGGGCGGCUUUUCCACGGCGUAAGGAGCCGUGGGAAUAAUGAGAGGGCAAGACUGGUGUCAUCCGCCGCGGUACUACCAGCUCUCCGAGUGGUGGGGACGAUUAUUGGGCUUAACGCGUUCGUAUCCGGCUUAACAAGUCUUCCGUUAAAUCCAACGAUCUAAUCGUUGCGCUGAGGGGGAUACUGUUGGGCUAGGAGGCGGGAGAAGCCGACGGUAUUCUCGGGGUAGGGUGAAUUCCUGUAAUCUCAGCGAGGACCACCACUGGCUGAAUGUGCUCGGCUAGAACGCGCUCGUACGGUGAGGGACAUAAAGCUGGAUGAGCGAACCGGAUUAGAGACCACAUAGUACCAGCUGUCAACGAUGCGAGCUACGUGUUGAGGUGCCGACGAGACACUUCAGCUCCGCAUGUGAGCAAUUAAAGACGUCUGCUGGGGAGUACGGUCUCAUACGCUGAAACUUACAGGACUAGACUGGGCGUAGCUCACACGACUGAAUCUUGCGAAUGAACUGGACUGCAACGUCAGCAAUGCAUCAAAGCAUACUGGCAAAUCAAGCGCGGCU
rnacentral:rRNA from 1 species